rnacentral:rRNA from 1 species
CCUGUUUAUCAAAAACAUGGCUCCCUGUUUUAUUUAAUAUAGGGAGUCGGACCUGCCCAGUGAUAUAUUUUAACGGCCGCAGUACUCUGACUGUGCAAAGGUAGCAUAAUCAUUUGCCCUAUAAUUGAGGGCUAGUAUGAAUGGUUUGACAAGAGUAACACUGUCUCUAUAAAAUUCUUUAGAAUUUAAUUUUUAGGUGAAGAAUCCUAAGUUUAAUUAAAAGACAAGAAGACCCUAUCGAGCUUUAAAAAAAUAAGUAAAUUAAAUUUAUAUAUAAUUUAUAUAUUAUUACUUAAUAUUUUGGUUGGGGCGACUAAGGAACAUAUAAAGCUUCUUUUAAAAUAUAGCUUUAGAUCCAGUAAUAUACUGAUUAAAAGAAUUAGUUACCGUAGGGAUAACAGCAUAAUCCUCCUUCAGAGCUCAUAUCGAAAGGGGGGUUUGUGACCUCGAUGUUGGACUAGAAUAUCCUAAAGAUGCAGAAGU